UACAGAGGUCUCGAGCGUUGUUCGGAUUCAUUGGGCGUAAGGGGUGCGUAGGUGGCGCCGUAAGUCGGGUGUGAAAUUUCGGAGCUUAACUCCGAAACUGCAUUCGAUACUGCGGUGCUUGAGGACUGGAGAGGAGACUGGAAUUCAUGGUGUAGCAGUGAAAUGCGUAGAGAUCAUGAGGAAGACCAGUGGCGAAGGCGGGUCUCUGGACAGUUCCUGACACUGAGGCACGAAGGCCAGGGGAGCAAACGGG
rnacentral:rRNA from 1 species